rnacentral:rRNA from 1 species
GACGAACGCUGGCGGCGUGCUUAACACAUGCAAGUCGAACGGAAAGGCCCUGCUUUUGUGGGGUGCUCGAGUGGCGAACGGGUGAGUAACACGUGAGUAACCUGCCCUUGACUUUGGGAUAACUUCAGGAAACUGGGGCUAAUACCGGAUAGGAGCUCCUGCUGCAUGGUGGGGGUUGGAAAGUUUCGGCGGUUGGGGAUGGACUCGCGGCUGAUCAGCUUGUUGGUGGGGUAGUGGCUUACCAAGGCUUUGACGGGUAGCCGGCCUGAGAGGGUGACCGGCCACAUUGGGACUGAGAUACGGCCCAGACUGCUACGGGAGGCAGCAGUGGGGAAUAUUGCACAAUGGGCGGACGCCUGAUGCAGAAACGCCGCGUGCGGGAUGACGGCCUUCGGGUUGUAAACCGCUUUCGCCUGUGACGAAGCGUGAGUGACGGUAAUGGGUAAAGAAGCACCGGCUAACUACGUG